ACUACGGGGGGCAGCAGUAGGGAAUCUUCCACAAUGGGCGAAAGCCUGAUGGAGCAACGCCGCGUGGGUGAAGAAGGUCUUCGGAUCGUAAAACCCUGUUGUUAGAGAAGAAAGUGCGUGCGAGUAACUGUUCACGUUUCGACGGUAUCUAACCAGAAAGCCACGGCUAACUACGUGCCAGCAGCCGCGGUAAUACGUAGGUGGCAAGCGUUAUCCGGAUUUAUUGGGCGUAAAGGGAACGCAGGCGGUCUUUUAAGUCUGAUGUGAAAGCCGUCGGCUUAAACGGCGUAGUGCAUUGGAAAACGGGAGACUUGAGUGCAGAAGAGGAGAGUGGAACUGCAUGUGUAGCGGGGAAAUGCGUAG
rnacentral:rRNA from 1 species